rnacentral:rRNA from 1 species
AGUGAACGCUGGCGGUAGGCCUAACACAUGCAAGUCGAACGGCAGCACAGUAAGAGCUUGCUCUUACGGGUGGCGAGUGGCGGACGGGUGAGGAAUACAUCGGAAUCUACUUUUUCGUGGGGGAUAACGUAGGGAAACUUACGCUAAUACCGCAUACGACCUACGGGUGAAAGCAGUGGAUCUUCGGACCUUGCGCGAAUGAAUGAGCCGAUGUCGGAUUAGCUAGUUGGCGGGGUAAAGGCCCACCAAGGCGACGAUCCGUAGCUGGUCUGAGAGGAUGGUAAGCCACACUGGAACUGAGACACGGUCCAGACUCCUACGGGAGGCAGCAGUGGGGAAUAUUGGACAAUGGGCGCAAGCCUGAUCCAGCCAUACCGCGUGGGUGAAGAAGGCCUUCGGGUUGUAAAGCCCUUUUGUUGGGAAAGAAAAGCAGCAGGUUAAUACCCCGCUGUUCUGACGGUACCCAAAGAAUAAGCACCGGCUAACUUCGUG